UGCGUAGGGUGCGAGCGUUAAUCGGAAUUACUGGGCGUAAAGCGUGCGCAGGCGGAUUGUUAAGCAAGAUGUGAAAUCCCCGGGCUUAACCUGGGAAUGGCAUUUUGAACUGGCAAUCUAGAGUGUAGCAGAGGGGGGUGGAAUUCCACGUGUAGCAGUGAAAUGCGUAGAGAUGUGGAGGAACACCGAUGGCGAAGGCAGCCCCCUGGGCUAACACUGACGCUCAGGCACGAAAGCGUGGGGAGCAAACAGG
rnacentral:rRNA from 1 species